rnacentral:rRNA from 1 species
CCUACGGGCGGCAGCAGUGAGGAAUAUUGGUCAAUGGCCGGAAGGCUGAACCAGCCAAGCCGCGUGAAGGACGAAGGUGCCAAGCAUUGUAAACUUCUUUUGUCAAGGGACAAAAUCAGGCUCGAGAGCCUGACCGAGGGUACUUGAAGAAAAAGCAUCGGCUAACUCCGUGCCAGCAGCCGCGGUAAUACGGAGGAUGCGAGCGUUAUCCGGAUUUAUUGGGUUUAAAGGGUGCGUAGGCGGACUGUUAAGUCAGCGGGAAAAGCCCGGGGCUCAACCCCGGAGAGCCGUUGAAACUGGGUGUCUUGAGAUGUCGAGAGGUAUGCGGAAUGCGCAGUGUAGCGGUGAAAUGCUUAGAUAUUGCGCAGAACUCCGAUUGCGAAGGCAGCAUACCGGCGGCGAUCUGACGCUGAGGCACGAAAGCGUGGGUAUCGAACAGGAUUAGAUACCCCAGUAGUC